rnacentral:tRNA from 1 species
CGGGAUGUGGCGCAGUUGGUAGCGCACCUGCUUUGGGAGCAGGGGGUCGCAGGUUCAAAUCCUGUCAUCCCGACCA